CAUGCAAGUCGAACGAUGAACCACUUCGGUGGGGAUUAGUGGCGAACGGGUGAGUAACACGUGGGCAAUCUGCCCUUCACUCUGGGACAAGCCCUGGAAACGGGGUCUAAUACCGGAUAACACUCCUGUCCUCCUGGACGGGGGUUAAAAGCUCCGGCGGUGAAGGAUGAGCCCGCGGCCUAUCAGCUUGUUGGUGAGGUAAUGGCUCACCAAGGCGACGACGGGUAGCCGGCCUGAGAGGGCGACCGGCCACACUGGGACUGAGACACGGCCCAGACUCCUACGGGAGGCAGCAGUGGGGAAUAUUGCACAAUGGGCGAAAGCCUGAUGCAGCGACGCCGCGUGAGGGAUGACGGCCUUCGGGUUGUAAACCUCUUUCAGCAGGGAAGAAGCGAAAGUGACGGUACCUGCAGAAGAAGCGCCGGCUAACUACGUGCCAGCAGCCGCGGUAAUACGUAGGGCGCAAGCGUUGUCCGGAAUUAUUGGGCGUAAAGAGCUCGUACGCGGCUUGUCACGUCGGGUGUGAAAGCCCGGGGCUUAACCCCGGGUCUGCAUUCGAUACGGGCUAGCUAGAGUGUGGUAGGGGAGAUCGGAAUUCCUGGUGUAGCGGUGAAAUGCGCAGAUAUCAGGAGGAACACCGGUGGCGAAGGCGGAUCUCUGGGCCAUUACUGACGCUGAGGAGCGAAAGCGUGGGGAGCGAACAGGAUUAGAUACCCUGGGAGUCCACGCCGUAAACGGUGGGAACUAUGUGUUGGCGACAUUCCACGUCGUCUGUGCCGCAGCUAACGCAUUAAGUUCUCCGCCUGGGGAGUACGGCCGCAAGGCUAAACUCAAAGGAUUGACGGGGGCCCGCCAAACAGCGACAUGUGGCUUAUUCGACGC
rnacentral:rRNA from 1 species